GAAGCAGCCAUCAUUUAAAGAAAGCGUAAUAGCUCACUGGUCGAGUCGGCCUGCGCGGAAGAUGUAACGGGGCUAAACCAUGCACCGAAGCUGCGGCAGCGACGCUGAUGCGUUGUUGGGUAGGGGAGCGUUCUGUAAGCCUGUGAAGGUGGCCUGUGAGGGUUGCUGGAGGUAUCAGAAGUGCGAAUGCUGACAUAAGUAACGAUAAAGCGGGUGAAAAGCCCGCUCGCCGGAAGACCAAGGGUUCCUGUCCAACGUUAAUCGGGGCAGGGUGAGUCGACCCCUAAGGCGAGGCCGAAAGGCGUAGUCGAUGGGAAACGGGUUAAUAUUCCCGUACUUGGUGUUACUGCGAAGGGGGGACGGAGAAGGCUAUGUUGGCCGGGCGACGGUUGUCCCGGUUUAAGCGUGUAGGUGUGUGUUCCAGGUAAAUCCGGUUCACUUUAACACUGAGGCGUGAUGACGAGGCACUACGGUGCUGAAGCAACAAAUGCCCUGCUUCCAGGAAAAGCCUCUAAGCAUCAGGUAACAUCAAAUCGUACCCCAAACCGACACAGGUGGUCAGGUAGAGAAUACCAAGGCGCUUGAGAGAACUCGGGUGAAGGAACUAGGCAAAAUGGUGCCGUAACUUCGGGAGAAGGCACGCUGACAC
rnacentral:rRNA from 2 species